rnacentral:rRNA from 1 species
UACGGAGGGGGCUAGCGUUGUUCGGAGUUACUGGGCGUAAAGGGCGCGCAGGCGGCUGCUCAAGUCAGGCGUGAAAGGCCUGGGCUCAACCCGGGAAUUGCGCUUGAGACUGGGCUGGCGUGAGUGCGGGAGAGGAUGGUGGAAUUCCCAGUGUAGAGGUGAAAUUCGUAGAUAUGGGGAAGAACACCGGUGGCGAAGGCGGCCAUCUGGACCGCAACUGACGCUGAGGCGCGAAAGCGUGGGGAGCAAACAGG